AAAAGUGAAUCCUGGAAACUGAUAGGAACUAUUCAAUAAUCAAUGAUUGAUGCUUCAACACUUUGAUCAGAACCUGGAAUGAUUUUACUGACUAAAAUCCUCCAACAGAACACGACCCAGUACCAGGUUCUGGUUCUGGUUCUGAGGUCAGCAGGUCUUUAUUGAUGCAGCAGCUUGUUGGCUUUAAUAUUCAUGAGAAUCUUUAACUGGUUCUGUUGGACUGGUUAACCUGCAUCCUGUUGGUUCAGCUCAUCUUUUAUUCUUUGUUCAGAUUGAUGUUCUGCAGUUUGUCAAAGAUCAGCUGUGAUUAUUUGGCUUCAGCUCUGAAGUCCAGCAGCCUCCAUCUGAAAGAACUGGACCUGAGAGGAAACGACCUGAAGGAUUCAGAUGUUCACCAGCUGGAGGAUCUUGCAGAGAAUGUACAGUUGGACUAAUCACUGUAAAGUAGAGAAUGGUCUCUGUGUCCUGCUGAUCCUCAGAGGUUGAAGCUGCAGCAGUUUGAGUCUAAAGAGACUUUGACUGGACCAUGAUGAUGACCUCUGACCUCCAAGAUUUUCCUCCUGUUUAUUUUCUCAUGUCUGUCAUUUAGUGUCUGAUAUUGUUUGUCUCUUUGGAUCAAUAAAGAUCCAAUUCAAACUGGGAUCCAUUUAGAGGCUUGAUGGAGUUUUGAUCUGAACUGGAUUCAACUGGAAAGUUGAUCUUUUUUCUCUCUGGUUCGUUUUCAUCCUGGAACCAGAACUGGUCUGAGAAUGGAAACAUGGGAAUCAUUUCCAGUUCAGCUUUGAAGCCAUGAAAGAAACUUCAACCCUCUUUUCUCUGCUGCUUCUUCCUUCUGUUGACAUGAAAAUGUUCCUCAAAGCUCCUCAGAGAAAAAGAUGCUUUACUGGAAACUGUAGAGAAACUUCAGCUUCCAUCAUAGAAACCAGUUGAACCAGUUUAGAACUGGAUGUCCCACAGAAACUCUGAUCUUAGAGCAGUUUUCAGGACCUUAAAAAAAGAUUUUAUAUAUUUUUAUAUUUUUAUGUUCAUUCUAAAAACUAAAUAAUGGAGUUUUGCAUCAUCAUCAUUGAUUCUCAGUUUGUUUUGGUUUUUACUUUUUUAACUCCAUAUUUCAUGUUUUACUUUGAGUUUUCUGGAGAACUUUAGGACUCGAUGUGUCACUUCAGGCUCUUUACUGUGAUUUUAUUGAUUUUUAUUCAAAACUCAGAGAAUCACUAGAAUAAUGUGCUGAUCGGUUCAUGUUUGAUUUUUAUAAUUCUUCUAAUGUAAUGUGGGUUGCUGGAUGUUUAAUGACCAAAUAAAGUUUUUAAAACAUC